GUCCUGUUAGCUCAGUAGGUAGAGCAUUUGACUUUUAAUCAAAGGGUCUGGAGUUCGAAUCUCCAACAGGACACCA
rnacentral:tRNA from 1 species